rnacentral:rRNA from 1 species
GUAGGCAUAGAGCCUACGCUUUUGUACACCGUAGGGAGGUGUACGAAUAAGAGCUGGGCAAGACCCGGUGCCAGCCGCCCGCGGUAAUACCGGCAGCUCGAGUGAUGGCCGAUCUUAUUGGGCCUAAAGCGUCCGUAGCUGGCUUUUCAAGUCCGUCGGGAAAUCUCCCCGCUCGACGGGGAGGCGUCCGGCGGAAACUGAAGAGCUUGGGACCGGAAGGCGUGACGGGUACGUCCGGGGUAGGAGUGAAAUCCUGUAAUCCUGGACGGACCGCCGAUGGGGAAACCACGUCACGAGGACGGAUCCGACAGUGAGGGACGAAAGCUAGGGUCUCGAACCGGAUUAGAUACCCGGGUAGUCCUAGCUGUAAACGAUGCCUGUUAGGUGUGACUCCCACUACGAGUGGGUGUUGUGCCGUAGGGAAGCCGCUAAACAGGCCGCCUGGGAAGUACGUCCACAAGGAUGAAACUUAAAGGAAUUGGCGGGGGAGCACUACAACCGGAGGAGCCUGCGGUUUAAUUGGACUCAACGCCGGACAUCUCACCAGCAUCGACUGUAGUAAUGACGAUCAGGUUGAUGACCUUAUCCGAGCUUCAGAGAGGAGGUGCAUGGCCGCCGUCAGCUCGUACCGUGAGGCGUCCUGUUAAGUCAGGCAACGAGCGAGACCCGCAUCCUUACUUGCCAGCAGCAUCGCGAGAUGGCUGGGGACAGUAGGGAGACCGCCGCUGCUAAAGCGGAGGAAGGAACGGGCAACGGUAGGUCAGUAUGCCCCGAAUGUGCUGGGCAACACGCGGGCUACAAUGGCCGAGACAGAGGGUUCCAACCCCGAGAGGGGACGGUAAUCUCAGAAACUCGGUCGUAGUUCGGAUUGUGGACUGAAACUCGUCCACAUGAAGCUGGAUUCGGUAGUAAUCGCGGUCAGAAGCGC